rnacentral:rRNA from 1 species
AAGCGGGAAGAGCUCUAAUUUGAAAUCUGGUGCGCCUCAGGAUCCGAGUUGUAAUCUAUAGAAGUGUUUUCCGUGCUGCCCAUGUACAAGUCCCUUGGAACAGGCGUCAUAGAGGGUGAGAAUCCCGUCCUUGACAGACUACCAGUGCUCUGUGAUACACUUUCAACGAGUCGAGUUGUUUGGGAAUGCAGCUCAAAAUGGGUGGUAAAUUCCAUCUAAAGCUAAAUAUUGGCGAGAGACCGAUAGCGAACAAGUACCGUGAGGGAAAGAUGAAAAGCACUUUGGAAAGAGAGUUAAACAGUAUGUGAAAUUGUUGAAAGGGAAACGAUUGAAGUCAGUCGUGCUCAAUGGACUCAGCCGUUCUGCGGUGUAUUUCCAUUGGGUGGGGUCAACAUCAGUUUUGAUCGCUGGAUAAAGGCAGGAGGAAUGUAGCACCCCCGGGUGAACUUAUAGCCUCUUGUCACAUACAGUGGUUGGGACUGAGGAACG